UGUGUCAUGCUACACCCCUGGCAACCAUCUAGACAACAAACCUCCUAAAGCCUCAGCAGCCUUCUGUCUUCAUCAGGAGUCAAAGAACGGAAGCUGAUUGAGGUUCUUGCUGGUGCCAAUCUACCACAAAAAAAUUCUCCUUCUUCUUACUAGGGAUUGGUUUAACAAAGGAAAAAAAGGGUGGAGGAAACUAUUCAGAGCAUUAAAAACCAGGAGGUGGCUUUAAAACACACACACAUACAAAAACAUUUCAUGACAGAUAGCUGCAUACUGUUCUGGUGAGUAUUAUUAAAUUAAAUCAGCAAUCCAAUUGAAAAGAAUCAUGGCCUAAUAUCAGGACAAAGGAACAAAAGGGCAGCAAAACAAGUGGAGAAUGGUGACCUGGGCAGGAUUUCAAGAAAGAAGCUCAAAUUCCUCAGCAUCAAAAUGAACAGGAGGCAUCAUGAUAUGGAGGAAGCAAUAGACAUUUUUCACCCAAACAGAAUGAAGUAUGAGGCAGAGUGUUAGAUACCAAGAUUAAGUCUGUUACUCAAGUUCUGUUUUUAGGGUCUGGGGUAAACAUGAGAUAAGGCUUCUGGACAUAUGAACCCAACUGAACUAAAGAUAUAUGCCCUGAGGAAUGGACUACAGACCUAUGGGAAUGGAAUAGCC
rnacentral:lncRNA from 1 species